AAAUCCCUCGGCAGACUGUUUCUGUUGUUGGCUGCGGUGCAGUGUUUCCAGAGGUUCGCCCCGCUUAUAAGAGAGCUUUGGCAGCUAGUUCCAACCCCUGCUCGGCAGCUGAGCGCGGUGCGGUCCCCGCCUCUUGCGCCCGCAGCGGUGCGCCGGGAGCGUGGUGGAGCCCUCCUGUGGCUCAGUAGAAUCGCUGCAGCUUCCCAUCUACGGGCUGAGAGUGGGACACCUGGGCCAAAGCUUGUUAGGGUUACACCCUCUUAGCCCUAUAAAGAUGUGGCAAACGCAAGAGAGACGUUUGUGUACUCGGUCAGGAUAAAUUCUGCUUCUCUGCGUGUGUUCUGUCCAUGUUUCAUGUAGUGUACUUCUAAGGAACACUGUAGAGGUAUUUUCAUCAGACUUCAAGAGGAGCGGGAGUGAACUGUAAACAGGCACUGAAGGUAGUCCAGAACGUUGCUGACUUGAUGGUUUCAAUGUCUGUUCCUGGGCUCCACUCCUGUGGAUUCAGCAGACUGAAGCAGCAACUUUGAAGCCAGUGAAAGAAAACAUGAAAAUGUGGAGAAGGAGAAUAUGGAAGAGCUUGUGGAAGUCGUGGGGCAGUGACCCAGUGGAAGAAGAGCUUUUCUCUCCAAGGGGCAAAUGUCUAGAACAAGCCCUACCAGCUUUGAACAUGGUUAAAUGGUAGCUUGGAGAGCCCAAAGGUCCCAGGGAGACAUGAGAGGAAAGACAGAAGAGAAACCUGUUGAGGCUUUCACUCCACUGCCUGGCAAGCUGAGCUCACUUUCAUUUGUAACAGAGCAGUAACUGAGUGCUUCUGGAGAUGGCAUGUCGUGCUUGGUGACUGAGUUAUAGCUCUGCAACAACAUGGAGAAGAAGUAAGUAACAUAUUUAGGAGUGAAUUUCAUGUCAUUAGGCUGAAGUGUGUUGUUUCCUUAAAGUUAACAUGGUAAGAGGUUUAAGCUGUGGGUUAAUUAAUAGACACAAAUGACUGUAAUCACACCAAGAUAUAAAUUACUGUAAUCAUGUCCGCUUACAUCUCGCAAUGAUUGCUCCUGCAGAAGACAAAUCUCACCUUCAGUGAGACUGGCAAAAGAAAAAAGAUCCAUAAAGGCAAGAGAGGUUACUGCGGGUGGAUGUGUAAAGCAAGUAACUGAGGGUCCAUCCUGCCUGAGCUCCUGGGCUGCCCUUUCAUCUCUGAUCCUCCGCUGAAAACCACCGUGGUGACUGCACAAGGGAACCGGGGUCCAAGGAAGUGUCCAGUGCUAGCAGUGACUCUCCCACCUUCAAUGAAGGGGCUGAGAGCAAAUGAAACAUUUUCAGAGGAGGAGAUCUGAUGUGAAUAGGACACAGAGAACCCUGAGACUGUGACUGCACGGGGUCCAAGUCUCCAUUUUCUCCACUGCCCUAUGAGUGUCCUAGGAUUUGCCAGGGGUGUUUAGAGUGACUUGUAACAAUUGUGAUUGUGACGGUGGAGAAAGCUGCUGUUUUCCAUGUGUCAGUGCCAAAUGCUGUCCUGCUUAGCUUCUGCUUUCCUCAACGUGGGUGUGGCAUUUUGUAACCAAAGCAAGGGCCAGCAAUCUGUUCUGGUACCUUUCUGAGCACAGCUUUGCCCAGCGAGGGGGAGGCAGAAGGAACUGUUUUGCAGUGGAAACUGCUGCUCUGCAGUCAAAGGAGGACAUUCAGAAGUGCCUAUUCUGUCAGGGACUAUUUCCCCCCUUCUCUGUUUUAGGGCAUUAAAAAAACCCAAAACUUUCUUAAGUCCCUACUAAUUUGCAGACUUCUGCUUUGCAUUUAGUCAACUCCUUGCUGGACAGCAUCUUUGACCACCUCUAAUUUCAGUCAUUGUACUUUUUGGAAAUGCAUGGUCCUGUGAAAUACUUUCCUUAUUUCCCCCUAAUAGCUGGCCCUGCUCAUUGAGAAGAAAUAUGUAAAUGGUGUUAGCCCUGGAGUGAGAGCUAACAGCCUUUAAUGGCAGUCAGGCCAGUGAGGAGCUCCUGACAUGAACAGUCCUGGGAAAUGGGGUCAAAUCUCUCAUAAAAGUAACUAUUUAAGAGCAAGCUGUCAGCUCCUCCGUGAAAGAAAGCCAGCGUGUGAACAUGAGAAGGCAUUUUCAGUCCGACGUGUCCCCAGUACAGAUGGAAUCCAGACUAACAUCCAUUGUGAACAUUUGCUGAAUGUUCAUUGUUGAAAAGAUUUGGAAUCCUUCUAUUAAUUUCCUAGCUUUUAGUUCUUGAUUUAACUCAGCUGUGGUGCUUCUUAGCAUGCUCUCGCAUGGUAUUUCACAUUUAGAACGUGUUCAUUACAGUUCAACAGUCUCUGCAGUUAGCUGCAUGUAAAGAAAAGGAAUUACUCUGAGAACGUUCUGGAAUGAGUGAUUUAUCAAAAAAGCAAACCUGUCUUCUGCUAACAAGGUAAUGCAUAUCUGUGCAUUCUUGGUCCAGCUGUUUCAUGGAUGUGUGUUUUAAUUAACUGAUAAGACAGCAAUGUCUCUGACCCAGUCAGUAGUGCUGAUCUCAACAGACGCCUGGUGUUUGGGAAGUAUGCUCAACUUCCCACAGUGACUUUUGGGGGUUUCUGCUUGCUGUACUAUCCCUGAUCCUCAUGGCAAAACAAAACCAAACUACCCGUGCUUAACUGAGGCUGAUCAUGAGUCAGCUGUGUGGCUGCUGAGGCAGUGAGCUGAUUCACCCUGAGUUCCCUGCUGCACCUUCCUCCUGCAGAACUGGGCAGAUGGAGUCCUGCUUGUUUUGCUGUGGUCGCUAACGCAGCCGAAGGAGCCAACUGGGGACAGGUACAUGCAUCCAUUUGGAACUUGUAAUCAUGUCUUACUGCCUGCCAGCUUCAAAGCAUGCGCCAUCGGGAGCUGUGUCGCAUCGCCUGCCACAGCAGCUGUAAGGCUGUGGAGAGAGCAGGCUGUCCCCACCUUCCAUAGCUAAGGUUAACUGCCUGGACAGCUGUGAGUCAGGCCUUCAAGACUAGCUGCUUUGUCUGCAUCUUGAUCUGGCACUUGAAAGGAAACGUGAGGAAGUUUCCAGCAGAGACAGUUUUUCAAGUCUGGAGAUGAGGGUGAGGUCAAGUUGGCUUGAGCUUGCAGAGUGUCUUUUUAAAACAAGGCCCCAUGCCAUGCAGGCAAGAGGAGCUGCUAUGCAGCAGUGGGGUUCACCCUCAGAUUUACAUUGCUGGAGUAGUUUUCCUGUUCUCUGUACCUGCAUCAGAGGAAAGCAGCCCAGUAAAUAAAAAGCAGUUCUGUUUUGAUAAAGGUGACUCCUCCUAAGGAGCAAGCAUGUGGUGACUUUACCUCUGUCCUGGCUUGCAGGGAUGUUGCCAACACCUCAUGGGGCUGCAGGUUACUGUGAGCAAUUAGUUAAGCAGUGAAGUGGCACACAGUGGUGCUGUAACUGCUUCACUUUGCAGGGAGCUGUUGCUUCUUCCAUGCUUUCAGAGGUGUGGAGGUUACCACGGGGGACUGUGGAGUGGAAAGAUUCAAGUAUCGCACUCUGUGUGUGAAACUUCAGAGCUUUAGCCUGCAAGGGAGAAGGAGCUGUCUCUGUCCCAUGAGGCCCCCCAAAAACU